ACCUAGAAACAAUUAUUCUAGAAACGCUGCAUAUCCUAGAACAAACAGUAGGAGAAAUGAUUUUCAAGGAUUGCGCAAUAGCCAUAUUGUCACAAAUAGAGCAAACGAUUUUCGUACCUCCAACUACUACCAACCUAGAAGAAUGCAUAAUCCUAAUGUCAUUUGUCACUAUUGUAGUAGAAUAGGACAUAUUGCUUCUGCUUGUUUUACUAGACACA
rnacentral:lncRNA from 1 species